CUAAGAUAGUGCAAGUGGGAAGCAGCACCACCAGGGCUGGAACCAGGUCUUCUUGACUCAAGUUCUGGCUUUUAAUUUCUCAUCUUGGGCUGGGGGUAGGAUCUGGGCUUUGCUAGUUCUCAGGCCCAUCACUUCUGAUCUCUAACCCAAGUCCUCUGCACUUGUUAAGGCAGAGAUAGAGGAAUGACUGGUUUCUGGUAACUUUCAGCUCUGAUAUUUCUUGUGAUUAGAGAAUAGUCCCUUGUAGCCACUAUAUCCUCAGCACCUGGGGUCAAGACAGUAGACACACAUUUUUCAGAUAGGUUCUAGUCUAUGAGGAAAAUUAAUCAGGGUAAUGGGCUAUGAGCCUCGUGUGCAAUGAGUGUGUUGCCCCAGCCUCUCCCAGACUUCACUGGCAGCCCCGUGCAGUCAGGGACCGCAAGCUGCCCUCCAGCCAGCCAGCUGAGGCUCUAGGGCAUCUGUAGAUGGCAUGAGGCCUUUCUGCUACAGCUACAUUUGAGAUGGUCAGUCGAGAUCAUCCUGAGGAAUGUAGGAGGCAGAGGAAAUGGCAUAUGCGAGAGACUUGAAGCACGAAUGUUUGAGAUUGAAAGUGGGCCAGUAUAGCUGGAGUGUGGUGUAGAAGGGGUAGAGAUCAAGCAAGGGCCAGAUCAUGAAGGGUCUCACUGGUAGGGAAGUAGACUAGAUUUUUGUUCUCAUUGAAAAAGGAACCCACUUGGAGGGGUUGAAGGACGGAAGUCAAAUCUGACCUCCAUUGUCAAGAGAUUAUUCCUGCUGCUCUGAGAAGCAGGGAUUCUCAAGGGUCAAGGGUGGUGGCAAGGAAACAAGAUAGAAGGCUGUGGCUAAGAUGCAGGUGGGAGAUGAUGGAGCUUGAACCAGUAUUAGAAGUGGAGGAGGGGAAAAGUAGCUUGUAGAGCUGAACAGACUGGGUGACAGAUUAGAGUGUAGGAGGUUUUUUGGUUUAUUAGAGGUGCUGUUUUCCUACAAUGGGUUCCCUAAGUCCAACUCUCAUUUCACAUGUGUUAAACCCAGACCAAUCAGCGCAUGGCGUUUCCCUGGCCACAGUGAUUGCUUCCAGAGUGGUCCAAUAAUAGACUUUUGUUCCACAGAAAGCAGAGGCCUCUGGUCUGAUAGAUGUUAAGAAGAAAGUGUCGGGCUGGGGAUGUGGCUC
rnacentral:lncRNA from 1 species